UGCUUUAUCUUCAUGGAAAUAAUAUUUCAAGUUUUCGGGAACUCUCUCAUCUUACUCUUUUACCCAACCUUUAUUCACUUACUCUACACGGGAACCCUAUAGAGAACUAUCCUAACUACAGGGCUGCAGUUAUAUCCAUCCUUCCUAAUCUCAGAUCCUUGGAUUUCGCCAAAGUGACCGAAGGUGACAAGAAAAAGGAUCCAAGACAGCGCACAAA